rnacentral:rRNA from 1 species
CCUACGGGAGGCAGCAGUAAGGAAUAUUGGUCAAUGGACGCAAGUCUGAACCAGCCAUGCCGCGUGCAGGAUGAAGGCCCUCUGGGUUGUAAACUGCUUUUAUAGGGGACGAAAAAGGGACUUUCUAGUUCAACUGACGGUACCCUAGGAAUAAGCACCGGCUGACUCCGUGCCAGCAGCCGCGGUAAUACGGAGGGUGCAAGCGUUAUCCGGAUUUACUGGGUUUAAAGGGUGCGUAGGUGGGUCGGUAAGUCAGCGGUGAAAUCUUCAAGCUUAACUUGGAAACUGCCAUUGAUACUAUCGAUCUUGAAUCAUCUGGAGGUAAGCGGAAUAUGUCAUGUAGCGGUGAAAUGCUUAGAUAUGACAUAGAACACCAAUUGCGAAGGCAGCUUACUACGGAUGUAUUGACACUGAGGCACGAAAGCGUGGGGAUCAAACAGGAUUAGAUACCCUGGUAGUCCACGCCCUAAACGAUGGAUACUCGACAUACGUGAUAUACUAUGUGUGUNUGAGNGAAGACGAUAAGUAGUACCACCGUCGGUAAGGUAACGUUAGUUCGUCGAGAGUUAGUUAACGUUAAAGUUAGUAGUUAGUUACGGACGUUGAGACGNGCGACGGACGACGACGAGGGAGGAGGAG